GAUGAAGAACGUAGCGAAAUGCGAUAAGUAAUGCGAAUUGCAGAAUUUCUAGUGAAUCAUCGAAUCUUUGAACGCACAUUGCGCCCGCCAGUAUUCUGGCGGGCAUGCCUGUCUGAGCGUCAUUUCAACCCUCACGCCCCUAGGGCGUGGUGUUGGGGAUCGGCCAGCGCCCUCGCGGGCGAGGCCGUCCCCUAAAUCUAGUGGCGGACCCGUCGUGGCCUCCCCUGCGAAGUAGUGAUAUUCCGCAUAGGAGAGCGACGAGCCCCUGCCGUUAAACCCCCAACUUUCUCAGGUUGACCUCAGAUCAGGUAGGAAUACCCGCUGAACUUAAGCAUAUCAAUAAGCGGAGGA
rnacentral:misc_RNA from 1 species